CCCAUCGGCAUAAUUAUUCCACCUCCCUGAACGUCAGUAGCUAUAUCGGCGGGAGAGCGUCUCCCCCUGACAUAGCGCUGUCCACACAGGCGCUUAGGUCAGUGUAACUUGCCUCACUCGGGGGUGGCUUUUCCACACCCCUGAGCGACUUAACUUAUGUCAAAAUAAGCACUAGUGCAUACAAGCCCUAAGAGAGAAACGAAGUCCUGGAGACUCAGGAGAUGGCCACUUCACAACCAGAGAAACCAUCUGGAUCACAGGAACAUAUCUGACCUGGGGAAGGGAUCACUUGCACUGACAGCUUGUGGCAACUAAGGACAAAGAAAGAGAUGAAAAAGACAGAGGAGUGGAAGGAAGAGCAUGACCGAGAGAAGGAAAAAGACAGGAGAAUGGCAUGGUCCUCACAAACACAGCUGCUGGGGAUACAAA